GCGGCGGACGGGUGAGUAACACGUGGAUAACCUACCUAUAAGACUGGGAUAACUUCGGGAAACCGGAGCUAAUACCGGAUAAUAUUUUGAACCGCAUGGUUCAAAAGUGAAAGACGGUCUUGCUGUCACUUAUAGAUGGAUCCGCGCUGCAUUAGCUAGUUGGUAAGGUAACGGCUUACCAAGGCAACGAUGCAUAGCCGACCUGAGAGGGUGAUCGGCCACACUGGAACUGAGACACGGUCCAGACUCCUACGGGAGGCAGCAGUAGGGAAUCUUCCGCAAUGGGCGAAAGCCUGACGGAGCAACGCCGCGUGAGUGAUGAAGGUCUUCGGAUCGUAAAACUCUGUUAUUAGGGAAGAACAUAUGUGUAAGUAACUGUGCACAUCUUGACGGUACCUAAUCAGAAAGCCACGGCUAACUACGUGCCAGCAGCCGCGGUAAUACGUAGGUGGCAAGCGUUAUCCGGAAUUAUUGGGCGUAAAGCGCGCGUAGGCGGUUUUUUAAGUCUGAUGUGAAAGCCCACGGCUCAACCGUGGAGGGUCAUUGGAAACUGGAAAACUUGAGUGCAGAAGAGGAAAGUGGAAUUCCAUGUGUAGCGGUGAAAUGCGCAGAGAUAUGGAGGAACACCAGUGGCGAAGGCGACUUUCUGGUCUGUAACUGACGCUGAUGUGCGAAAGCGUGGGGAUCAAACAGGAUUAGAUACCCUGGUAGUCCACGCCGUAAACGAUGAGUGCUAAGUGUUAGGGGGUUUCCGCCCCUUAG
rnacentral:rRNA from 1 species